rnacentral:miRNA from 1 species
GGGGAGGAUGGGAGGGAGGAGUAACAAAAGUAAAAACAAAAACUAAAAACUGAAAUCUAUUUGAAAUUGUUUUCACUUUUGUUACUCCUCCCUCCCAUCCUUCCCU